UACGUAGGGUGCAAGCGUUUGUCCGGAAUUAUUGGGCGUAAAGAGCUCGUAGGCGGUUUGUCGCGUCUGCUGUGAAAACGCGAGGCUCAACCUCGCGCCUGCAGUGGGUACGGGCAGACUAGAGUGCGGUAGGGGAGAUUGGAAUUCCUGGUGUAGCGGUGGAAUGCGCAGAUAUCAGGAGGAACACCGAUGGCGAAGGCAGAUCUCUGGGCCGUUACUGACGCUGAGGAGCGAAAGCAUGGGGGAGCGAACAGG
rnacentral:rRNA from 1 species